rnacentral:lncRNA from 1 species
AAGGAGCAAAUUAACUUAGGUGAGGACUGGGCACGUCAGCUCAAUUUGAGAUUUUGGGUUACUGUAAGGUCUACAGAAAUGAUUUGGUUGGUUGAAGACUUUUGUAGUUAAAUUGGCAUUUCUUUGAAGAUGACGUUAAGAACUCUUAGUGAGCUGAGAGAAUGCUUUUGUGGCUUGCUGCUUUUGUUGGGAUCUGCUGCAGUUGUACCUGUGUGCCAACUUGUCUCUGAAAAUUUGAUCACAACUUCGAAUAACAGAGGUGUCCUUUCCCUUCUGGUGGUGAGUCUUGGCAGAAUGAAUAACGUUUUUUUAAAGGAAAGGAGGAAAAGAGCUAUUCUGCAGAGUAGGACAGCGCUAAUGUAGACAGGCGCUCUCGGCUCUUCAGUUGCCAGCUUUCCAGGUGAUUUGACACAAAAGGAUCUGGCUGAUGCAAGGCCCCAUUACUGAAGUUAUGAAUCUUACAUAUCUCACUGACCGUGGAGAAGUUAAGCUGGUGCCUAACUCAAGCCUUUACCCCCGGUGACUAGUGUUCAUGGUACUGGAUGGUAUCCUGGUACUCAGCAUGCCACCAGAGGAGAAAGCCUUUGNAGCCUUUGGAUGAAGACGUAGAAUUCUCAACUCUGCCUGUGCCAUGCCUGCCUGGAUUCUGCCAUGCUCCCACCUUGAUGAUAAUGGACUGAACCUCUGAACCUGGUCCUGUUUGCAAUGGAAACUUGAGUGCUCUUGGGCAAGCCAGUUGUGUUUGUUACUUGUGUGCUGGGGCAAACAAGUAAAGGAGUGUUUUCCUGAAGUGGAUACAGGUGAAAGAUUCCUGAAGUUGAUACAGGUGAAAGACUAAGGCAGACUCGUGAAGGAACACUGCUUUGAAGAAGACACAGGAGAAAGGAUGUUCUGCUAAAGCAAGCCUGUGAAAGGACAUGUGAUGAAGGAUUCUUUGUUAAUGACCCACAUGUAUUGGUCUGCCCUACACUGUGUAAUUGAGCUCCAUUUACUUGUUGGGACUCCAUAACUUCUGGUGCAGUGCUGUAGUUUCUUGCCUCUUCUGUGGACUGGGGCUGCGUGGCAGAGUGAUGUCAGCUGAGACAGACUCAUGUGUUGAGGUAAGACAGGUGGAGGAUGUGUGAUGAUUGAUGGCUUGCUGGUUCAGCUAGCUGUGCAAUGUUUGUGGGUCUCUUAUCUUCACUGAUCUUUGCUUCCCUGAGAGAGGCACAGCUAAGAACUUCUCCUGACAUUCCUCUACGUCCCUCCUGCUAACUUGAGCUGAGGCUGAGGCCUGGCUGUCUCUGCUAGGACAUGUCACUGCUGUUGCUAACCUGACCCUACCAAAGUGGACUGCUGGUAUAUUCAUGAAGUAUUUGCAAGUGGAUGGAGCUGCCGCUGCCUGCUAACCUGUGAGCUGAACUGCUGAUUUCCAUACAACACAGACUGGAAUUGCUCCAAAGAACCUUUCUAAUCAGGUCACCCGGUAACUCCGAGAGCCGCUCUGCACUGAGUGGGGUCUGGGUGGGCCAAGGAGAAGCCAACUAUCCUGCAGGAGUGCAGUGGAACCUCAGGUGGCUCUUUCGGAGAGAAGAUCUCUUCCCACCUGUUACAGCUCUUGGAACAAAAGACCCAGAGAUGGAGUAGUUCUUGCACACAGGGUUUGACAGCAGUAUUUUCUUUAUCCCUGUUUGCACGGGGCGGCCUGACUCCCUGCAUUUUCCAACCAGGGAUUCUUGCCAGGUCAGUAGGUGUGGGAAGGGCCAGGAUGGCAGGCUGGGAGCUACUUGAAGCUGUAUACCCUUAACCCGGUUUGAAAAAAAGGGGAUGACCUUUCUGCGGGGUCAGCACACACAUGGAGCAAGACAGCUGCCGGGCAGACACGUGAAGGAAUGUUCAGACACACACAUGCUCCAAAAGAGAUGUUCCUGGGAACAAUGAGAUGCUUGUUUCAACUGAAAUUAACUGAGAGAAGAAAGAGGGUGCCCAGCACCCGCUCCGGGUGUGUUGAAAGAAGCGCCGGUGUGGAGCUGGAGGGCAGGCAAACAGCCUGCUGUGUGAAGCCUUGCGUCUGUCAACAACUUGGGAUUUAUUCAUUCCUUUUGACCCACGCGGUUCCAAGCACCUCACUUGAAGAAGUAGUUGGAGAGGUAAAUAAUUGUGAAUACUAAAAAGAGGUUUAUAGUCUGUUGUCCUUCACUGUGUUUAAUACGUCAAAUGUCUGACGGUAGUGGCCAAGUGAAUGGCCACUUGCUCCUGCAGUUGUCAUCUGCAGCCAUUGCAACUUAAAAAUCGACAGAGCUUAUAAACUGCAAAUACUGAUAUAACCGUGUUUAGCAGCAUAAACAUUUGUAUCAAUUACGUGGAAAAAUGCAAAAAAAAAAAAGAAAGGUUGAAGGUAAUGUGUCAAUAUGUAACAGUUGUGCUAGCUUGGGUUAUAGGCAUUUUUCUUUCUUUUUUUUUUUUUAAAUCUUUUUCUUAGUAAUCGUUUUACGUUUUCCAAAUAAAUUAAAAAUAUAUAAAUG